rnacentral:rRNA from 1 species
AUUGAACGCUGGCGGCAUGCCUUACACAUGCAAGUCGAACGGCAGCACGGGUGCGUGCACCUGGUGGCGAGUGGCGAACGGGUGAGUAAUACAUCGGAACGUACCUUAUCGUGGGGGAUCACGCAGCGAAAGUUGCGCUCAUACCGCAUACGCCCUGAGGGGGAAAACGGGGGACCGUAAGGCCUCGCGCGAUUAGAGCGGCCGAUGUUUGAUUAGCUUGUUGGUGAGGUACAAGCUCACCAAGGCGAUGAUCAGUAGCUGGUCUGAGAGGACGAUCAGCCACACUGGGACUGAGACACGGCCCAGACUCCUACGGGAGGCAGACGUGGCGAAUUUUGGACAAUGGGGGCAACCCUGCUCCCGCAAUGCCGCGUGAGUGAAGAAGGCCUUCGGGUUGUAAAGCUCUUUUGUCAGGGAAGAAACAGCCCCUCUCACACAGUCUGCGAAUGACGGUACCUGAAGAAUAAGCACCGGCUAACUACGUGCCAGCCGCCGCGGUAA